rnacentral:rRNA from 1 species
UACGAAGGGAGCUAGCGUUGUUCGGAAUCACUGGGCGUAAAGCGCACGUAGGCGGAUUUGUCAGUCAGGGGUGAAAUCCCGGGGCUCAACCUCGGAACUGCCUUUGAUACAGCAAGUCUUGAGUUCGAGAGAGGUGGGUGGAAUUCCUAGUGUAGAGGUGAAAUUCGUAGAUAUUAGGAAGAACACCGGUGGCGAAGGCGGCCCACUGGCUCGAUACUGACGCUGAGGUGCGAAAGCUAGGGGAGCAAACGGG